rnacentral:lncRNA from 1 species
GAGUAUCCGGGACUCCGAUUCACAAUCCGUCGAAUCCUACACGAUCCUAAAAUUAUUUGGAACAACAUAUCCGAAAUUGAGAGCGAUCCAACGGUUCGGUAAUAUUGAACGCGAAAAUCGCACAAUAUGAAAAAUCCAUUCGGGGCUCAAACGGAAUCCAAAUUGAGAUCCGCAAAAUCCUAUGCGCUCGUGACAACAUAAGGGUCGCAACAAGACACAAUUCCAUUGCACUACCCUCACCCACACGCUCCAGCACGCGCCAGCAGCGAUGGGUGUCUAAAGC